rnacentral:rRNA from 1 species
GGUCAAGCGAACAAGUGCAUGUGGUGGAUGCCUUGGCGAUCACAGGCGAUGAAGGACGCGGUAGCCUGCGAAAAGCCCCGGGGAGCUGGCAAACAAGCUUUGAUCCGGGGAUGUCCGAAUGGGGAAACCCACUCCUUUUGGAGUAUCCAUGACUGAAUACAUAGGUCAUGUGAAGCGAACGCGGUGAACUGAAACAUCUAAGUAACCGCAGGAAAAGAAAUCAACCGAGAUUCCCAAAGUAGUGGCGAGCGAAAUGGGAUGAGCCUUGUACUCUUUAUUUGUAUUGUUAGCCGAACGCUCUGGAAAGUGCGGCCAUAGCAGGUGAUAGCCCUGUAGGCGAAAACAGUAUGAAAGAACUAGGUGUACGACAAGUAGGGCGGGACACGUGAAAUCCUGUCUGAAGAUGGGGGGACCAUCCUCCAAGGCUAAAUACUCGUGAUCGACCGAUAGUGAACCAGUACCGUGAGGGAAAGGCGAAAAGAACCCCGGGAGGGGAGUGAAAUAGAUCCUGAAACCGCAUGCAUACAAACAGUCGGAGCCUCGUAAGGGGUGACGGCGUACCUUUUGUAUAAUGGGUCAGCGACUUACGUUCAGUAGCAAGCUUAACCGUAUAGGGCAGGCGUAGCGAAAGCGAGUCCGAAUAGGGCGUUCAGUUGCUGGGCGUAGACCCGAAACCAGGUGAUCUAUCCAUGGCCAGGAUGAAGGUGCGGUAACACGUACUGGAGGUCCGAACCCACUAACGUUGAAAAGUUAGGGGAUGAGCUGUGGAUAGGGGUGAAAGGCUAAACAAACCUGGAAAUAGCUGGUUCUCUCCGAAAACUAUUUAGGUAGUGCCUCGUGUCUCACCUUCGGGGGUAGAGCACUGUCAUGGUUGGGGGGUCUAUUGCAGAUUACCCCGCCAUAGCAAACUCCGAAUACCGAAGAGUGCAAUCACGGGAGACAGACAUCGGGUGCUAACGUCCGGUGUCAAGAGGGAAACAACCCAGACCGCCAGCUAAGGUCCCCAAAUAUGGCUAAGUGGGAAACGAAGUGGGAAGGCUAAAACAGUCAGGAGGUUGGCUUAGAAGCAGCCACCCUUUAAAGAAAGCGUAAUAGCUCACUGAUCGAGUCGUCCUGCGCGGAAGAUGUAACGGGGCUAAGCCAUAUACCGAAGCUGCGGAUGCGUGCUUGCACGCAUGGUAGGAGAGCGUUCCGUAAGCCUGCGAAGGUGCCUUGUAAAGGGUGCUGGAGGUAUCGGAAGUGCGAAUGCUGACAUGAGUAGCGAUAAAGGGGGUGAAAGGCCCCCUCGCCGUAAGCCCAAGGUUUCCUACGCAACGUUCAUCGGCGUAGGGUGAGUCGGCCCCUAAGGCGAGGCAGAAAUGCGUAGCUGAUGGGAAGCAGGUCAAUAUUCCUGCACCAUUGUUAGAUGCGAUGGGGGGACGGAUCGCGGAAGGUUGUCCGGGUGUUGGACGUCCCGGUCGCUGCAUUGGAGAAGGCGCUUAGGCAAAUCCGGGCGCAGGAUUCAAGGGUGUGGCGCGAGCGACUUCGGUCGCGAAGCAAUUGGAAGUGGUUCCAAGAAAAGCCUCUAAGCUUCAGUCUAACGAUGACCGUACCGCAAACCGACACAGGUGGGCGAGAUGAGUAUUCUAAGGCGCUUGAGAGAACUCGGGAGAAGGAACUCGGCAAAUUGGUACCGUAACUUCGGGAUAAGGUACGCCCUUGUAGCUUGAC